UUAACCAAUUGGUACAUUAAUUUAUCAUCUCAUAACAAAGUAAGGCAACUUUCACAUCUGAUUGUUGGUUGAAAACUCAUGUAACAUAUUGACUGUAAACAACGUAUAACCUAGCAUGAUUCAAGAGCCCUAACAUCACAUCCCUGAGCCUCUCUCUUCUCUACAGAACGCACACUCAUGUAACGGACAUAACGUAGCUACGUUAGCCUGCUGCUGCAACGUAUGUUAUGUCAUUAGCUUUGGUUGAUAACGUAGCAUUUUACAUUAAUAUUUAAGGCAAUGCUGCACGAUGUGAUACAAACAUUACAAACUGAAGCUGCACUCUAUUCAAAGCUAAAGUGGAUUUAUUUUGGUUACUAUUCCCAGGGCAUUUGUCAUAAUCUCAAAUGAUUUAAAAACUCACGUGGGGCGGCCUCUAGCUCACCCAGCGUUCGCCCCAUGUUGGCGGAGUCCGGCAGCGGCGCGGGUUUGAAAUCCGACCCGUUGCCCUUUGCUGCGUGUCGUCCCCCAUCUCGCUCCCCCUUUCCAGUCUAUCCACUGUCACUGUAUAUUAAAGGGAAAAGCCCCCCCAAUUUUUUUUUCCAUCUGAAUCAUCUUUAUGGUUGAUAUUGAAAUUUCAAUGCUAAAUAAAUGUUGAAUCACCAUUACCAUAUCGAUGAAACCUGAUGUUGUUAAUGUUGAUGGCAACAACAUUGGAGCAACAUUGAUCUAUUUUUAUCUUUAUGAUUGAUUAAGCAUUGAUUUUUGGUUCACCGGGUGAUAUUGCCAAUGUGUUGAAAAGUCAUUGAUUAAGAGUUGACCGGGAAACGACCUGUUGUUGAAAAGCCAUCGACAUAUAUUUGACCGGGAAAUAUGAUUUUAAAAUGCGUCGAUACAUAGUUGACCGGGAAAUAUGAUUUGAAAAUCCAUUGAUUUUUGGUUGACCGGGAGAUCAUCGGGUGGUAGACCAACGUACUGCACAGACACAGAUCAUUUCUGGACCCUUGGGACCCAUACGAUCAGGUAAAGUUGCUUAUGUAAUGUUCAAUAUGAAUGAAUUGUACGGUUAGGCUACAACUGUUAACAUGAUGGUUAGUGUAGUAAUACCCACGUAGUGCUGCAGUCAUAGAUUUUGUUAAACGUCAAAAUCUGCCAACGUUAAUGUAACUUCAGCUAUCGUGGUUUGCUUCCAACAGGUUACAAUAAGUUAGCAAAACCUCAGAGUCCAGUCUAUUUUUGUGAUGGCUAGCUCGAAAAUACAUGUCUGUACCAUUAUACAUUAGGGGAGAAUGUUGUGAAAUAUAUUAACACAGCACCGCUAUUUCUUCUCAGAAGUGAACACCGGCACCAACGCUAGCAUAGUGCAGCCUGCCAGGGCACUUUUCAUUAUAGCUGCCAAGUCACAGCAACAAUUUCUGAUAUUGAUACAAAUGCCAACGUUUGUGCCAGCCAAACUAAAUUAAAUUUCAAUGAGAUCCAAAAUGAACCCAGAUGGACUGCAGCAGAUGCAUACUGUAGUAAGUGGCUGACAUCUGCACACACUCCAUUUUCUCCAUAAAUAAUCUCUCCUAAUCUAUAAAAUACCAAACUGUCGGUAUCAUGGCAACAACGUUCUGUGUUGCUAUCUUGUUAGGCCGUUCCGAAACAAGUUCGUAGUUUAGCCUAGCCUACUGGUUAGUUAGACAGCCGAAGGCAGCAGGCAGCUAGCGUCUGGGGAACGUUCAUUCAUUCAUUCCCAGCUCGUUUCCAAAGGGGCGUCACCAACGGAUACCGCUCAAAUGCCUCUGGGCGCAAUUGGACAGUCCUUCAACCAAUCAGACUAACGAUCCAGGUGACGUAGCAGCCGGAAGUUCGUCAGGGUUUUCCUUUCUUUAACUGUGUAUGGGGUUUCCCCAUGGGUUUCCCUGGCUAGCCUUGAGGCUAGCAGGCAGCCCGUGUGUGUGUUGCAUGGAUGUAUUAAGAGAACGGUGUGUUGCUGUUACGAGUGUCAGGAAGUUGCAUUGGUAUUCUAAUCAUUCUAAAAACAAAGUCGGCUAAUUUAAUAUUCAGAGUUUACAACCUUGUUAUUGGUGAUUAAUGUUAAUAAACUAAAGAGAGAUACUUGACAUAUGUGAUUUAUUUAUUUAAAUGUAUAUUUUCAACAAUAUUAUUGUUAUAGGUUAUUGCGCCCACAUGACUCCACCACACACAGAUUAUAGUGGAACAUGGCAUGCUUUUAUUAUCUUAAAGCUGUACAAACAAAUUGGCAUAUACAAUAUACCAACAAUAUACAAACAACAAGCAGCAGAGUUUACACAUAGCCUACAGUAGGCCAUACCAGUCCAAAGUUUGGACAUAACACAUGAGUUUUUCAUUAUUUUGACUAUUUUGACUACUAACAUACCUGCCUUUCCCUACUCAAAUCUAACACAUAAUCUAAAAUGAAGACUAAGACCAGAAAAAAAAUACACAAUCAUAUGUGUGUUAUUUCAGGACCAUCAGUUUUUCUUCCACAAUGUAAAAACAGUCCAAAGUGUCCAAACUUUUAACUGGUACUGUUAAUUAAAUCAUGUAACACAUACAAAUAUAACAAACUGUAUAGAUAUCUUAAUACAUGCAUAAUGUGCAUAAAAAAAGUACAACUGGUUACGUUCAGACAGUACAGCACAGACACCUGGAGGUGCCAUGUGACAGAAAAUUAGUGACGUGAUAGGCCUAUAGGGUACCUUGUACUUAAAUGUAGUAAACAGAGUCCAUUAUUCGUGGAUGAAAAUUGUUCGGUCUUUAGAAAAACCUUUGCAAAAGAACAUGUUAUCAUCUGCUUUGUGGGGAAAUAAUCAGGGCAGUGGUUGAUUCUGAAUGAAAUUGCUGUUUACGGACACUGUGAUUUACUUUUCGUCUUUUUUUCAGAUCAUUAAUCCACAUAAUUUAUCAAGUAAGCAAGUCUUUAGUAUAAUAAGCCCAAUCUGAGAAUCUUUUUAAUAUCUGUUUCUGAAUCUGCACACCACUGCACUCACAAUGGCAUCACGCUGGUCAAAGAGGCGCAAAUGUAGGUCAAUGCUUUAGGCCACAGAGUCAGAGAUACUACAGCAGUUUAAGGAGACCUUUAAUAAUACAAAUAUGCAAGGCAACACUGACACAGCAUUGGAACACGUAGAGUGCCCAAGGGAAGUAGUAGAUCCAACUGUUUCAACCUCUAGCCACUCAGUUGUAGAGGAGCUACCAGUUAUAGGGAACUAUGAGCCUAGUUCAGAAUUCAGUGAGACCCAUGAGUCAAUAGACACAGCUAAUUAUGUUGAUUCAGAUGAUACUGAAACUCCAACUACAAAGUUUUUGAUGACAAGUCUGAGAUUUUGGGCCUCUACAUUUUCAGUCUCUCAAGUGCAACUAACUGCACUUUUGAGCAUUUUGCGCGUUUCAUCCAGAAUUGCCUAAAGAUGCUCGGACAGUUCUGAGGACGCAAGGUAAAAUAAUAACUAGGAAGAUGGAGGGUGGGGAAUACUAUCACUUUGGCCUAGCCAAUGGGUUGAUGUCGAGGCUUAAAUCUUUGACUCUACCUGCCAACUUGAACACACUUAAGUUGCAGUUCAAUAUAGAUGGAUUACCACUAUUCAGAAGCAGUAGACUUCAGUUCUGGCCAAUUCUUGCUAUGGUAAAUGUGGAUUACACCUUCCUUGUUGGCCUGUUCUGUGGCCUUAGCAAGCCUAAAAGUGCAUCUGAAUUCUUGGGCCCAUUUAUUAAGGACCUUAAUGACAUUUUGAAGAGAGGUAUAAUUUAUUUGGGCAGCAGCUAAUGGCAAAAGUGUGUUCAUUCAUUCGUGAUACCCCUGCACGAGCCUUUAUUAAAAACACAAAGGGUCACAAUGGUUACUAUGGUUGCGAUAAAUGCUUUCAAGUGGGUAAAUGCUUUCAAAUGGCAGGGCAAAAUGACCUUUCCUCAUGUCAGUGCUAAAUUAAGAACAGACUUCGCCUCCAUGAUUGAUGAGGACCACCACUUGAGUCGAACGCCAUCUCCCCUAGUUGGCGUUGUGAAAAUGGUGACAUUGUUGAAGAACUGAAAUAACUUACAAUGUCCACCAGCUAACACACCUGGCAGCAGAAUAUCAUCUCUACGGUCCCUUAGAUAACAUUGCUGCCUUUCCUUAUGAGAACUAUUUGGCCCAACUAAAACAUUUACUGUGCAAAUCUCAUUUGCCUUUACAGCAAAUAGUUAAGACUUUCUGAAAGAGACAGACAUCCCAAAUCAACAAAGGCCAGAAAUUCAUGCACCUCCAUCAUGAUGACCCAUUGCUGUCUCUUAUAGAACAUGGGGAGUAGUAUAGAAAGGUUGUAACUAAACAUUUCAUCUUAUCAUGUAGGUUUGGGGAUAAUUUCAUCCAGAUAGUUGAUGACAUCGCUCUUGUUGACAACAUGGACAAUGUAGCUCAGGAAACAUGUGAUUUUCCGGAAAUUUACAAGGAAGGAGUCAUAUGUCCAAUACCACUUUGAAUCAGCCAACAUUGAAUGUUACAAAGUGUGGGACUUAAGCAGCAGUGUUGGUGUUGUAAAGCUCCAAAUAAUAAAAAAAACAAUAUAUAGUUUUCCCCGAUAAAAAAGAGUUCAUUGCCAUUCCCCUCAUACAUACAAAGUAAAUCAUUUUCGUAAAAUCAGUUCAUAAAAUCAGUUCAUGUGUUAAUAACCAACCAUUAAACAAAUAGUAUGAAGCAGUGGUGCCUUGUGCAGUUCAACAGUGGUGGAACAGAAGUUAUGCCACACAUAUGGCUUCAGGGGGAGAAGGUUUUCUGACCUUCAUACCCUCCAAAAGAGUCGGGCAAGGUUCGUGCUGCCAUCAGGAGGAGGGAUGAACCAACAGAAGAAUGGCAGACUUAUGAGCCUGUCAGGAUCCUCAUAAGCCGAGGUGGGUAUUUUUAAAUCUGGUUGACAUUUUAUCAUAGCCCUUUGUAUCAGUAUUUCAUAACAACUUUGUGUCUGCAGAUACCUUUGAGGAAGCAGAGAGGUGCCUGGAAAGGUAUUUGAAGCAGCAAUGCGACACUACCGACAUCCAAUCAGAGGAGAGGUGUCAACAGCCUCUGAAAAGGAGAAAGAAACCAAACCCAAUCUACAACAACUUGGAUGACUCUGAUGGAGAUGGACAACCUCAAACCUCCAGCCCUCUGCAGUCUCCCUCUCCAUCCUCCCAAUUCCAACAUCAGUAAUGUGGAUAUAAUGACUAAGUGGUUAAAGGAAAAUAAUAGAACAGUUACAACAGUCUGGUAAGUUCAGAAAACGACAUUCCUUUACUGUCUAUGUGCGACUGGGUGUUGACAUGUCAAGGUGCAACGAAUGGUAGCACAACUCGACGACAAUUAGCCCAGUUUGACAGAACACCGGUGUGCAUUGGCCUUUAAACGAAAAAGGGAAUGAGUGAAGCCUACUCCUUGCCAAUUCGCUUUUCCGUAGUUCGCCUGUGGAAGCUAAGAAAGGGCUAACCUGAGGCCGAAUCACAUCUGGCAGGCGGAAGUCUACCUCAGCUAGGCUUUUUCUCUAAAUUGUGUAACACUGGAUAGACACAUUGUAACACUGGAUAGACACAGAUAAACACAGCAACAUUUAAAAUAUGUUUAUCUCUCUGGUGAGAAGGGAGAAACACUCCACUCAAAUUGGAGCCUUAUGUCAUAAAACUGGUAGCCUAGCCUACGUGUUUGUCAAAUAAUUCCAUCCUAAGCUAGGCUAUUUGACAGACUUUUCAAAAUUGAUGUUAAAAAUGGCUACAUUCGCUAUUAGACGUUGCAUUUAUUCGGGUAGACUUACCAGUUCAUGUUUUCAGAUGCGAAGUUUGUUGUGGUGUCCCUUCUGCCACAAAUUACCUCAGUGACGCUUCAGACCAAAGUGGGAAAAAUAUCGGACAUCCAGCACACAUAUUUGACAGUCAAUCUAGCGCCAAUCAAAGAGUGAUCACACCUGAAACAUGUGAUUCAGAGAAGAGAGUGGCGUGGUCCUAUGGUGACGUCGUUCUUCCAGAUGAAGGGCAUGAGGGGAAAACAUGGGCAACGGUAGCGCUCAAAUUAAAUUAGGCUAGUGUAGGACUUGAGUGUGAGGCGUUUGUGAGGGAAGGAUACAAGCUAUGCCACACACACACACACACACACUUUUUUUCUACAUGGCCUUAUCAAGUUUAUAUCCUUCACAGGCAGAAGACUUUGUCUACUGCUAAUGUUAAACUAAAAUGUACUUUUGCUUGUUUUCUUUUUUAGAUGCCUUGACUGAGUACGGCAAAUGCCUAUGAAUUUUCUCAAGCUGUGCAGAAGUGGCUGCGCUACGCCCCAGACCGGGCGGGGGAAGCUGGACGACCGACCCUGGAGAUAUAGCGUGUUAGAAGAAAAAAAGAAAAAAAAAAUACAAUAAAAACGAUUGUUUCAUUUAUUUUUUUUUAACUGCGUGGGGUGUCAUUUGUGCUAGAAAGUCUAGGCAGAAGGCUAGUCUGCCAUAGUUUCUAUAUUUUGCUCAUAGCCCAUCCUGGCUGUCGAUAAGCAGGAUUAUAAUAGCCUAAUACUGUUUUUAAUAUAUUCAUUUAUACAUUUUUAGAUUAAUCCUGUGGUAUAGGCUACUAAAAUACCAUUGAAGUUUCGUUGAUAUGCUGGGAUUUCAACAUUGUUUCAGUAUCCACUGUAAUCGAAAUACCAUUGAAAUCCUGUUGAUCUCUAGGUAUGAUUUAAACGUUGUUUCAAUGAUAAUGGAGGGUGUAACAUGAUGAAGAAUUAACAUCAGAGUUCGAUGUUGAUUCAAUGACUCUAUCGUUGACAGCAGGAUGUUGAUUUAACAUUUAAUGACUAUUUGCUAUCUGGGCUUGCGCUGCUCUGUGUGUGAGAAUAUAAACAAAGUCAUGUGACUGGGGGCAGUGGGCAUCCCUGAGGGCAAGAUUGAAUGAUAUAGCAAAUUUAAUUUGUUUUAACUUAAGUAAUGAUGGGCGUAUUAAUGCAGCCACAACAGCAAAAAAAGAAGACAAAAAAAAAGAAAGAAAGAAAAGUUUAUUUAGGCUUUUUCGCCAGAGGGGUAGCUAAUCCAAUCAGGGCAAAUGGGCAGUUGCCUGGGCAACAAUAGCCCAUACCUGUGCACGUCCCUGACUGUUGCGUAGUUUAAUUUAUAAUAAAACAUUGUAUUUUAUAAACUACAUGUGUUUUGUUUGUUUGUUUUU